GUCGAACGGUAACAGGUUAAGCUGACGAGUGGCGAACGGGUGAGUAAUGUAUCGGAACGUGCCCAGUCGUGGGGGAUAACUGCUCGAAAGAGCAGCUAAUACCGCAUACGACCUGAGGGUGAAAGCGGGGGAUCGCAAGACCUCGCGCGAUUGGAGCGGCCGAUAUCAGAUUAGGUAGUUGGUGAGGUAAAGGCUCACCAAGCCGACGAUCUGUAGCUGGUCUGAGAGGACGACCAGCCACACUGGGACUGAGACACGGCCCAGACUCCUACGGGAGGCAGCAGUGGGGAAUUUUGGACAAUGGGCGCAAGCCUGAUCCAGCCAUGCCGCGUGCGGGAAGAAGGCCUUCGGGUUGUAAACCGCUUUUGUCAGGGAAGAAAAGGUUCUGGCUAAUACCUGGGACUCAUGACGGUACCUGAAGAAUAAGCACCGGCUAACUACGUGCCAGCAGCCGCGGUAAUACGUAGGGUGCAAGCGUUAAUCGGAAUUACUGGGCGUAAAGCGUGCGCAGGCGGUUAUGCAAGACAGAGGUGAAAUCCCCGGGCUCAACCUGGGAACUGCCUUUGUGACUGCAUGGCUAGAGUACGG
rnacentral:rRNA from 1 species